UACGUAGGGGGCUAGCGUUGCCCGGAAUGAUUGGGCGUAAAGCGCGUGUAGGCGGUCCGGUAAGUCCGCUGUGAAAGUCGGGGGCUCAACCCUCGGAUGCCGGUGGAUACUGUCGGGCUUGAGUACGGAAGAGGCGAGUGGAAUUCCUGGUGUAGCGGUGAAAUGCGCAGAUAUCAGGAGGAACACCAAUUGCGAAGGCAGCGCGCUGGGACGUUACUGACGCUGAGACGCGAAAGCGUGGGGAGCAAACAGG
rnacentral:rRNA from 1 species